UACGUAGGGUGCGAGCGUUGUCCGGAAUUAUUGGGCGUAAAGGGCUCGUAGGCGGUUUGUCGCGUCGGGAGUGAAACGCCGGGCUUAACUCGGUGCUUGCUUUCGAUACGGGCAGACUAGAGGCAUGCAGGGGAGAACGGAAUUCCUGGUGUAGCGGUGAAAUGACGCAGAUAUCAGGAGGAACACCGGUGGCGAAGGCGGUUCUCUGGGCAUGUCCUGACGCUGAGGAGCGAAAGUGUGGGGAGCGAACAGG
rnacentral:rRNA from 1 species